UAAGGGUGAUAUCCUCGAGACUGUUCUAAUGCGGGAAGUCAAGAUCAAAGGCCACAACAGGACUUAUGUUGUAGAGCAAGAUGAGUUACACAUUGAGUCCAGAGAUGUCCUCAGAGAGAAUACACAGUACUGUGUGAAGGUCAGAUGCAAACCAAACGGCCAUUAUUUUGAUGGCUACUGGAGUGAUUGGAGCCACUGGAGCAAGUUCCAGACCCCAAAGGAACAUCAGGCAGAUCAGCUGCAUACAAUCUACAUAGUCAUAGGUGCACUGCUCCUCUUGCUAAUGAUUGCUGCAGUAAUGGUUUGGUGUUGGUACAAGGCGUAAGUGUGAUAGAAAAAUGAACAGCUUUUAGAUAAACUGCUUUUGGAACUUUUUUUUUUAUACAUUAUUGCAAGAAUGCCUGGGUGACAGACAGCUGACAGUCACGCUUAAACCUCAAUACUUUUUUAGCCUAAGUGUUGCACUCAUGUUUUGGAGCAUAGUACUUGUUAGAAUUGACAAGAAAUGCAGACUGGGGGACAAAGGCUGAGCAUCGAGCGCAUGCAGCAGACAUGGCAGGAACACCACAAAGACAGAGGCCAUGCAGAAGCAUAGACGCCCCCUCACGUGCCCCAGGCCUGCAGCAUGCUGAUCACGUGAAGUAUACAUGUUUGAAAGGUGCAAUCUGCAUAAGGCAUAUGUGUGUUACAAAGUGCACCCCCUGCCCUAAUCUGUUUGAUCUGGUUCAGAGGAGGGGCCGCGAACUGUGAAUGUACCCCUAUAAAGGUUAUGUUGACCAGAAAAUCUUUGGAACAUUACUACGAGGGUGGCAGCUGGAUGGUUGUUCCCCGAGCUCAUUAAUACAGCAAAGUCACAUACAAAGGCAUCAGUCUGUAUUGUCAUAAAUUCUUAUGAAAAGUGCUUCCUCUUAGGCAUCCUGCCCAUGACUCCUUCCCUUAGUCGGCAAGGUUGUCUGAUCAGGGGGGGACAGUGUUGUCCGAACACCUGAUUAUAUAGAAACAUGAUAACACAUAUGACUCGUGCUGCAUGUAAAUCAGCCCUUGUGUUAAAGAGACACGAUUAAAUCUACAGAUGAGAUAGUCAAAGAAGGAAGGCUCAUACACUGUUUAUUGUUUUUGUCAAUUUGGGGUAAUGUUAUGCAAUGUCCUGACAGGAAGAUAAGAAAUUUAAGAUAUUGGAACUCAUCCUGUUUCUGUCUAAAAAGCAUAUGUGCUCUGUUUCUUUAUUUAGAGUAUAAAAAUUAAUCAUUUGGCCGAUUAUUCCAAACCCCAAACACACUUUGGUUCAAGGCUACAAGCCUAACAAGGUAACAACCACGAUCAAAUCUUGAUACUUUUUCCCAGACGUUUUUUCCUAAUAGUUUUAUACUUUGCAUUUGAAGAAACAAUGCUGGUGUUUUCACACAAUCCAUCCCUCAACAAGUUAGCAUCUGCCGUAAUACUCAAUGACAAGGAGAAUUAAUUCACAGACCCUCAAGUUAUCCUGAAGAGAACCUUCAGCUGCAAGUGCUAGUAUUGCUUAUCUCCUCGUGCUCUGGUCACAGGGUCCACCUGUUAGCUUCCACUAACAAGCCAAUAACAAGCAGUGCUUCUGGACUCCAAUCAGCUGAUUGGGUGGUCAUCCCAAAAAUCCACACCCACUCCGGCUCUCCAUGGAUCAGGUUCUCUUCCCCGGUUCUAUGGCAAUAACGAAAAGGUUAAUCUACCUCCCUCACAUGGCAUCAACAUGUACGAACUGCUCUGACUGGGACUUGCACAGCCCAGAACUACUUCCCCCACUAAUCCUAAAACUGGUCCUUCAUUUUUUGUGAUCAAAUUUCUCACACUGCUUUUCAGUGUUGUGCCAGUUCACACUGAAAAAGAACUAGUUCAAAGUUCAGUGCAUUCAAAUAAAAAUGAACUAGUUCAUGUUCGUUCGUUUUUUUUUUAUUAAUAUUUUCAAUACAACGUCUUUCUAUCUGAACCUUCUUAGAUUUUCUCCUAUCUGUCAUUUACCACUGAACAAUCAGACAUGAGUUUCAUUAAAAAGAUUGUUACAUUAAAAACCAAUUCUGAGGUUGAGAAUCGAUCUUACCGCUAAUCGUGUCAUGUUAUGCUAACAGUGAACUUUGUGGUUAUUUUUUCAUAGUCAUACUUUGUUAAUGAUUUUUUUGUGCUCAUCAUUAAGAUGAAGGUAUUCCCUAAAACUGCUUUGAUACUUUAACUCGAUGUGUCGUUUCAAAUUCGAUGCAGAUGUGACUGACUUGUUUUUUCAAACCAGGUGGGCAUAAUUUGCAUAAAACGUGUG